rnacentral:rRNA from 1 species
AUUGAACGCUGGCGGCAGGCCUAACACAUGCAAGUCGAACGCGUGGCGGAGGGGUGAGUAAUGUCUGGGAAAGUGCCCGAGGGAGGGGGAUCACUGCUGGAAACGGUAGCUAAUACCGCAUACUAUCAGAGGAACCCAUAUGGGAUUAGCUAGUAGGUGGGGUAAAGGCUCACCUAGGCGACGAUCUCUAGGUGGUCUGAGAGGAAGAUCAGCCACACUGGGACUGAGACACGGCCCAGACUCCUACGGGAGGCAGCAGUGGGGAAUAUUGCACAAGGGGCGCAAGCCUGAUGCAGCCAUGCCGCGUGUAUGAAGAAGGCCUUAGGGUUGUAAAGUACUUUCAGCGGGGAGGCGUUACCCGCAGAAGAAGCACCGGCUAACUCCGUGCCAGCCGCCGCGGUAAUAC